UUGUAAAUUGUAUAGGUAGGUUUAAUUUCCGUAACACUAAAUUACCUUAAGUGACUUACGGGGAAAAAAUGUUUAGAAAAAUAACAAAAUUAGCCCAAGUGGGGUAAAAGAAGAACAAGAGAAAGAGAAAAUAUUUAAACAAAGGAAGAAAAAACGAAUAAAAAAAAAAAAUCUUAUAAUAUUUAUUGAAAAAAGUCUUUGUAAACUUGAUUGGUAAUAUGACAUUUGAACACUAGCAAAACUAGUCUGCUCGGGCGCCGCAGUUAUUUGACGACAUUAUCAUUGUUACUAUUCUUCUUUUUCGUACUACGUGCUAAUUUAUUUACUUACUUAGCCUAAUUCUUUCUUCUUCUCUCUUUGUUUACGCAGCUCAGGCCGAAGGCAAUAGUUUCAUAUAUUAUACAAAUACCCACCCAAACGGGAAAUUCAAGUUUUCUAAUAUUCGAAACAGACGUUACAUAAAUCAAUGUCCGCAUGUUAUUUGGCAGAACUUACAACGCACGAUUCUCGUCCUUCUCUCAGCGAUUUCAUGGCUUAAUACCCUUAUCUCUAAACCGAAGAAACGACUGAUGAAAAGAAAUCUGCGAUCCAGCUUCAAAGUCAUUUCAAAUAAUACCGAGUAUCGUUAUAGAAUCAUGAUAAAAAUUUCUUUGUAUCUAUUAUCAUCCAUACAGAAUUGAAUAUCGAUUACUUGAAUUAUUCGUUGAUAUGUUAUCUAUUUUUUUUUUUUUAUUGGCGAUAGAACCGAAUUAUUCAUAUGCAUAAAAUUUCAAUCAAGCAAUUCGCAGCUGUAUACUCUGAAACUUAUAUCCGACAAACAGGUACAAUUCUCUGCUAUCUCCAAUAACGAUUGGAAGAAAGAGGAAACAAAA